GCGUCGCGUCUCCUCCCACCGCUCGCCUUCUUCCCGGGAGCUAAAUUGUAUCGCGAGAUUUCUGCCUCACUAUUACUUGGGCCGCGGAGAUAUCCCACCCUUUUCUUUCGCGUGGUUGGAGGACAUCGGCUAGUUUUCUGGAGUUGGAGGACUGAAGUCGGGAGGGUAGUGUGUGCAAAUCUCCAGGACUCACGCACCAGGCCAGUCGCAGGUUUUGGCCCGAGGCCUGGGUUACGGGCAGCAAGUGCGCGGUUGGGGCCGGUGUGAGGCGGUUUUAGAAAACUGUUAUAAAACAAAGCAAUUGAUGGAUAAAUCAGGAAUAGAUUCUCCUGACCAUGUGACAUCUGCUGCUAUGGAACUUGCAAAUCAAAGUGAUAACUCUUCUGAUAGCAGCUUAUUUAAAACUCAGUGUAUCCCUUACUCACCUAAACGGGGGAAAAGAAACCCCAUUCGAAAAUUUGUUCGUACACCUGAAAGUGUUCACGCAAGUGAUUCAUCAAGUGACUCAUCUUUUGAACCAAUACCAUUGACUAUAAAAGCUAUUUUUGAAAGAUUCAAGAACAGGAAAAAGAGGUACAAAAAAAAGAAAAAGAAGAAGUACCAGCCGACAGGAAGACCAAGGGGAAGACCAGAAGGAAGGAGAAAUCCUAUAUCCUCACUAAUAGAUAAGAAGAAACAAUUUAGAAGCAAAGGAUCUGGCUUCCCAUUUUUAGAAUCAGAGAAUGAAAAAAACCCGCCUUGGAGAAAAAUUUUAACGUUUGAGCAAGCUGUUGCAAGAGGAUUUUUUAACUACAUUGAAAAACUGAAGUAUGAACACCACCUGAAAGAAUCAUUGAAACAAAUGGAUGUUGGUGAAGAUUUAGAAAAUGAAGAUUUUGAUAGUCGUAGAUACAAAUUUUUGGAUGAUGAUGGAUCCAUUUCUCCUAUUGAGGAGUCAACAGCAGAGGAUGAGGAUGCAACACAUCUUGAAGAUAAUGAAUGUGAUAUCAAAUUGGCAGGCGAUAGUUUCAUAGUAAGUUCUGAAUUCCCUGUAAGACUGAGUGUAUACUUAGAAGAAGAGGAUAGUACUGAAGAAGCUGCUUUGUCUAAAAAGAGAGCUACAAAAGCCAAAAAUACUGGACAGAGAGCCCUGAAAAUGUGACAGGAUCAUGAAUGUCAAAGGCUUUUAUCUUGAGAACAUGAUGUCUGAAGUUAAAGAUAAUCUACUUUUUUUACCUUAGGUAUUGGCAUAUACCACACAUCUGUACCAUUCUUGAGUGAUUGCUUAGGAAUGAAUGUGAUUUGAACUCAUUCAUGUUGAGAGGGUGUCAAAUUGAGAACCAGGCAGAUCCCCACCACCUACAAUCAAAAGCUUCUAGGACCCUAAAGUAAAUUGGUUGAAGAAAUUAGAUCCCAAAGAUUCUUGGUGAAUUUUGAAGUCUUCAUCAGUAUACCCAUAUUAAAAGGAGAUAACAGAAGCCAAAGUAAUUAUGGCAAGU